GACGAACGCUGGCGGCGUGCUUAACACAUGCAAGUCGAACGUGAUUUUUGUGGAAAGCCCUUCGGGGACGGAAAUGAAAUGAAAGUGGCGAACGGGUGAGUAACACGUGAGCAACCUACCUUACACAGGGGGAUAGCCGUUGGAAACGACGAUUAAUACCGCAUGAGACCACAAAGCCACAUGGCUUAGGGGUAAAAGAUUUAUCGGUGUAAGAUGGGCUCGCGUCUGAUUAGCUAGUUGGAAGGGUAAAGGCCUACCAAGGCAACGAUCAGUAGCCAGUCUGAGAGGAUGAACGGCCACAUUGGAACUGAGACACGGUCCAAACUCCUACGGGAGGCAGCAGUGGGGAAUAUUGCACAAUGGGGGGAACCCUGAUGCAGCGACGCCGCGUGAGCGAAGAAGGUUUUCGAAUCGUAAAGCUCUGUCCUAUGAGAAGAUAAUGACGGUACCAUAGGAGGAAGCCCCGGCUAAAUACGUGCCAGCAGCCGCGGUAAUACGUAUGGGGCGAGCGUUGUCCGGAAUUAUUGGGCGUAAAGGGUACGUAGGCGGCCUUUUAAGUCAGGUGUGAAAGCGUGAGGCUUAACCUCAUUAAGCACUUGAAACUGGAAGGCUUGAGUGAAGGAGAGGAAAGUGGAAUUCCUAGUGUAGCGGUGAAAUGCGUAGAUAUUAGGAGGAAUACCGGUGGCGAAGGCGACUUUCUGGACUUUUACUGACGCUCAGGUACGAAAGCGUGGGGAGCAAACAGG
rnacentral:rRNA from 1 species